GCCGGAACCACCAGCUGAGUUCCUUAUUUGGGGCUUGGUGGAGCUGGGCACCGGGGUGUUGGAGGCAGCGCUGAGGGGCCCUUCGCUGCCCCACCAUGGCAUCCGCUCUCAUCGUCCUCUUCCUCAGCUGCUGGCUGGCUGGACAGAGCUGGGUGUCAGAACGGACAACCGACGUAUCUCAGAUGGCAAACAUGAGAACUACCAACUUCCCAAUCAGCACAGGGCCAGGUACCACCGAGGCUGGGGGCAGGAAAUCGACAUCAACCCUCCCAGAAAGAGG